AAAAUAUCUCAUACUUCAACGUAGAUUAGCCUGAAUAUAAAUAAAAAUGCAUUUCCCGACUACAGCCAUUGCUUAAAGACGAUUUAUUCAAGUGCCGGAUAAAUUGAUAUUUUGUCUUUCAACAUAUCGAGUACCUAGUUAUCGCGUUAAAAUGUGGAAAAUUGUUUUUUUGUGCGUUUUACAUGUCGCGUUGGUCGCAUCGAAAUCGAUAUUGCUCGAAAAAAUGACCGAGAUAAAUGGAGCAGAAACGAGGUCCAAUUCCAGCGAUCAAUUCAUCGAGCAAUCUAAUGAAGACGACUUGGUCAGAUCGCAAAAUAAAUCUCUCGAAUCGAUUCAGGUACCUCAGGAAAUCGAUCAAUCCAGCACACUCAACAACUCUAGUGAUGAAGUUUCUUCCAACAUUACCACACCAAAACCUAUCGAACCUUUGAGAAACCGAAAAGCCCAAAGCUUUCAUGACCAUUUCCAGCUGGAGUAAAUUAUACCCAAUUCCACCAUCGAGCCCUUUUUCUCCUUAUGUGGCCGAUGAUGACGAACCUUUGUAUACUCCGCAAUCUGCAUUAAUUUCAGAUAGGGAAUUGGAAAAUUCUCGAUCGGAAGACGAAUACGAACAAGGGCUGGAAAAUCUCGAUUAUGAACAAGAAAUGGACAAACUUGAGUAUUUGCAAGCUAGAGAAAGCGCGCAACUUAACUAUUCCUCGACAGUUGCGAUGGAAGGACUCGCCUAUGAGCGAAAGGAACUGGAACUCAGAUACGCUCUCGCGAAAAAGGAACUCAACUAUGCGCAGGCGAAGAAUAGACUCAAGCAUCAGCAAACGCAAGAGAAAUUCUAUCGGUCGUAUUCUGCUCGAAGUUAUUACAGUUAUUACAAUCAAAUUAUGAAUUCACCUUCAUACAACGGCAACGGGUUUUUCUGAUAGAGUAAGAUGCCCAUGUCUGGUUAGUUGAUCUACACAUGAACGUCGAGUUCUUAACGAGUUCAAACAAUCAUUUAUACAGUUUGUUUAGGAUACAAAUAGGUACAUAUAAACUUUAGUCCUUAAGCCAAACGAGGUAGACAUUUUCUUUAUUUUAGUGUAGACCUGCCAAUGCGCAGAACAUUUAUGAGGAAUAUUUUAAUGAAAAUAAUAAAAUUUAUUAUGGGAUAUUUUGUAGAACUAGGCUUACAUUGUAUGCAUUUAAUUACUUGGGUAAAUUUUAAUAGUAUUAAGUACAUACAUGUGUAUAGGUACGUAGAAGUAUCUACCUAGACAUACAUUCAUUACAUUACAUAUUAUAUUCAUUUCACAUUAUUUGCUUAAUUUUUCUCAAAAUAAUCGUUUUAUUUUAAUUUUUAAAAAUUUGGAGAAUCCAACACACGAGUAAAUAUAUUAGUCCGGCAUAUGACAAUAGGAGUAAUUGCACCCCCCCCCCGCCGAUCCUCCGGGACAACUUUUUUCUUAAAGGGGACAUCCUCAGGAACAUUUUAAAGCACACUUGCCAAAAAAAAAAGUUGGCCUUACUUACAAAAUCCUGAAGCCUCCAGCAGAUUUUUGAAACUUCAAAUUUUCACAAAAUUUCAUCAAAUGGAGAUGAAAAGCUGAAAUUUACUCUACACUCCAAUUUUAACACCCUUUGAAAACGACUUCUGGUGGAUUUCAAGUCAUUUUAGAGCCUCCAACAACUUUUUGGAAAAUUACUGGAGCCUCCAGUAGAUUUUUGAAACUUGAAAUUUCCACAAAAUUUCCUCAAACUAAGAUGGAGAGUCGAAAUUCAUUCUGAAAACUAAUUUCAAUACGCUACGAAGUUGACUGCUGGUAAAUUUCAAGUCGUUUUGGAACCUGCAGCAACUUUUUGAAAGGUUGUAUGACGUUUUUCUGGAAAAUUGAAAUUUCCUAAAAGUAGCUGGAAGCUUCACAACCAUUUGAAACCAACAUGUAGUCUGCGAAGUAAAUUUCAGCUUGCUAACUCCAUUUGAUGAAUUAAUGUUGGGGAAAUUUCAAAUUUCAAAAAUCUAAUGGAGGCUCCAGUAAUUUUCAAAAAAGUCGCUGGAGGCCCUAAAAUGACUUGAAAUUCACCUGCAGUACUUCGUAGCGUAUUGAAAUUCGUUUUUAGAAUAAAUUUUAGCUUUACAACUCCAAUUUGAUGGAAUUUUGUGGGAAUUUCGAGUUUCAAAAAUCUGCUGGAGGCUCCAGAAUUGCUCAAAACGGAUUGAAACCGCUUCCAAUCGAUUUUGCAUGUCGAAAAUAGGGUAUAUCCCAAAUUUCAGCUUUCUUGGUCAAUUUGGUAAAAUUUUGAUCUUUUCCCUCAUUUUUGGCCUAAAUUCAUUUUCAAAAAUUCACCCAAAAAUCGAAAAACGCACUUUAGCACUUGAAAUUUUGACAGGUGAUGAAUUUUUACAUGAUCUUUCGACCCACCUUUGUAAUGUUUGAAAAAGUUCGUGCAAGUCCUAUGUUAAAACGCAAAAUCUGCGAUUUCGGCUGACCUGUCAAUCAAAAUGGCCGCCAUUUUGUAAGUAAGGCCAACUUUUUUUUGGCAAGUUUGCUUUAAAAUGUUCCUUAGGAUGUUCACUUUAAGAAAAAAGUUGUCCCGGAGGAUCGGCGGGGGGGGGGGUGCAAUUACUCCUAUUGUCACAUUCCGGACUAUAUCUAACCAUUACUUACUUUGAGAGUCUGACGGUAGAAAAAGUGAAACAUCAAAAUAAGAAAACACCCUAAAUUAUUUCCAUUUUUUGUGAACCAAUGUAAAUAGGAACACAUUUCAUUCAAAUCAUCCAUCAUGUUUCGAUAACUUGGAAAGAAAUAAAAUCCAAUCGUACGACGACGGUCAGUGAAAAUCUGAAAACUGUGUUAAAAUACACGAAAUAAUUUUUUUUUUUUACAAAUAAUGCUUCAAAAGAAUGGAAAAAUUAUACUUGGUCCAUUCUAUAAAAAUGUCUCAAAAUGCCAUUUGUCAAUAGUUUUCGAAAAACUCUCUCAAAAAAACCUUGAAAAAUUGCUUUCAAAUUUGAAUUACAAAAUUAUUCAUCACUUCUUUGCAAAAAAUGUUACCCUUCUUUAUGAGGGAACGUUUUAAACAAGGCACUUUCUGAUUUAAACGUAACCAAUAGAUCGAAAGAACAUGCCCUGAAACCUCUGCAACCAAAAUUUUAGGGCGUGAAGUUCGUUUUUAGAUUUUUGCCAAAUUUUCGAAAUUUUUCAAAAUUUAAAAAAACUGUUUCAAGACCAAUAAUUUUUAAACUUUUUCGUGAAAUAAAAUAUACAUAUUCUAAACAUCUUAUCACGAGGUGGUUUUUGACCAUACGGAAUAAAUCUUACUCGUUAGUUUUAAAAUCCGAGGACAAGGAUAUUUUAUACCUAUUGAGUUAAAACUCUCGAAUAAAAUUAUCGAUUUGAAAAAAUUAAUAGUUUUUGCGAAAAAAUGAGAUUUUUUUGAUUUAAAACAUGAAAAAAAGUUUUGAUUGGUGAAGUUGACCCAUUUGACUCCCCCCCGCCUUUUUUUUACGUAUCCGUUGACAAAGUUGAAACCCCCUUUCACUCGAUGAAAUGAACUCAUCACAAAAAAAUCAAAAUUCGAAAAGAUUAUAAAAAUAAACGAAUUUUAAUUUCUUUGCUAUGAGUGUAAUUUUUAUCAACUUUUUCAUGAAAAACUUCAGAAAGAGGUCAAAAUAAGACGACUGAAUAAAUUUUAACUUUUUUUGAUGUUUGGAAUUGAAAAUGAAGUGUUUUUGAUUUUUUUAAGAUGAGUUUAUUUCAUCGAGUGAAAGCGGGUUUUCAACUUUUCCAACGUAUACGUAAAAACUUGAAAACAUAAAAUUCAAAAUUGAAGACCGAUACAUUUUUUUCAUUUUUUGCAGCUCUAAACCUAAAUACCAAGAAAAAAAUGUCAUAAGAAUGCUUGAUUGUAUAGAAAGCAAUUUUGUCAUUAUUUUUCUACUUGCUCAGGAAUAAGCAUGAAAUCAACAGGAUCGUAUUCUGAAUCCAAUUUUCUAUCAGAAAAAUCAUGUUUGGUCAAUUUUGAUGACUUAUUUUCAGUUCGCUAUAUCUAAUUCCAAAUAGAAAAUGAUAUUUUAAAAAAUUCUAUUUUUAUGUAUUCUCAAUAAUUCAUGGUACCUCGCGCAAAAUCAUUUUAUUACCUUAAAGUGUUCAUGUUUUUCAUGUUGCCCGGUGGAUAUAGCCUGUACAAUGACCCUUAAUUAUUUAUUCUUGAACAGUACCGUAUCUGAUGUACAUUGUGUAGGAAUUUAUCAUUUUUAUAAACUUGGAGGGCCGUUAAUGAGAUGAACACGUGUCUGAUAAAAUCCCAUAUACAUUUUUUGUGGCAAGUAAGUAGUUAAUAGAGGUACAUGCAACGAAGAGAAAAUUACUCAUCGUCUCUUCGCGAUAUAUAUCAGAAUUUAAAAUACUGUAGUACCAAAACAUUUGUAAUUAAGAUAAAAUAUGACCAGUACAUCAUUAUUUAUCUGGAAAACAUUGCCUCUAAUGUCUGAUCAAAGGGAACAUUGAUAAAACUUCGAAUUAUGGAUAUAUUUACUCGUUGAUUACCUACGUGAAAAUAUCUCAUACACCAACGUAUGAUUAGCCUGCGUAUAAAAUAAAAGGCAUUCUCCGACUAUAGCCAUUGCUUAAAGACGAUUUAUUCAAGUGCCGGAUAAGUUGAUACAUAUUUUGUCUUUCAACAUAUCGAGUACAUAGUUAUCGCGUUAAAAUGUGGAAAAUUGUUUUUUUGUGCGUUUUACACGUCGCGUUGGUCGCAUCGAAAUCGAUAUUGCUCGAAAAAAUGACCGAGAUAAAUGGCGCAGAAACGAGGUCCAAUUCCAGCGAUCAAUUCAUCGAGCAAUCUAAUGAAGACCACUUGGCCAGAUCGGAAAACAAAUUUCUCGAAUCGAUUAAGGUACCUCAGGAAAUCGAUCAAUCCAGUACACUCAACAACUCUAGUGAUGAAGUUUCGUCCAAAAUUACCACACCAAAACCUAUCGAACCUUUGAGAACCGAAAAGCCCGAAGCUGUACUUACCAGUUCCAGCAGGACUUCAAUACGCCCAAUUUCACGAUCGACCUAUUCGGCACCUGUUAUCAGGACCGUUGAAGAUGAAGCAAACGUGAUUUCACCUGCGGAUGCUGCGUUACUUAGAGAGUUGAUGAGAUUAGAAAAUUCUCAAUCUGCUGCGGAAUCUGCAUUAUUUUCACAGAUAGGAUUAGAAAAUUCUCGAUCGGAAGACGAAUACGAACAAGGACUAGAGAAUCUCAAUUAUGAACAAGAAAUGGAGAAACUUGAGUACUUGCAUGCUACAGAAAGCGCGAAACUUAACCAUUCCUCGACAGUUGCGAUGGAAGGACUCGCCUAUGAGCGAAAGCAACUGGAGCUCAAAUACGCACUCGCGAAAAAAGAAAUCAACUUCGCGCAAGCAAAGAACAAACUCAAGCAUCAGCACACGCAAGAAAAAUUCAAUCAGUCGUAUAAUACUCAAAAUUUAAUCAAUCAGUUGACGAAUUCAGCUUCAUACAACGGCAAUGGGGUUUUCUGAUAUGCAUCGUCUUCCUAACCGAAUUUGAAGAUGUCCGUGUCAGGUUUACUAAUCUAUGUACAUACACAUCGAGUUACUUAUCGAGUUCAAACAAUACAGUUUAUCAUAAUAAUUAAGUACAUACAACCUUGGUACUUGAGCCAAAUGAGGUGGACCUGUCUUUAUUUUUGUGAAGACCUGUCAAUGCGCAGGAUAUUCCAUUCUAAUGUAGAAGUACAUUUAUUACAAUUUAUAUUAUAUGUGUAAUUUUUCUCAAACAAUCCUUUUUUUUUCAUUUAAAAAACGUUGGAGAAUAUCCACCAAACGAGUAACUAACCUUCACGCAUUUUAAGCGUCUGACCAUAGAAAAAGUUGAAAAUGAAAAUAAGAAAAAAUCCUGAAUUAUUUUUAUUUUUUCUUAACAAAGAAACUUUUUGAACUGACACUGUGAUUUGAACAAAUCCAAACUAGAUCAAAAUAGCAUGUCAAAAAAUCUAGGAAGCCGAAAUUUGAAGUGCUGAAGUUCAUUUUCGGAUUUUUAAAAAAACUGAAAAAUUGAUUUCAAAUUUGAAUUACAAAAUUAUUCGUCAUAUCUCUGCAAAAAAAGUUACCCUUCUUAUGAGGGAACGUUUUGAACAAAGCACUUCCCAAUUUGAAUGAAACCAAAUUAGAUCAAAAAAAUAUGCCCUAAAACCUCCGCAACCAAAAUUUCAAGGCGUGAAGUUCAUUUUUGGAUUUGUGGAAAAUUUUCGAAAAUUUUCAAAAUUUAAAAAAUCUGUUUCAAGAGCAAUAAUUUUCAACCUUUUUCUUGAAAUAUAUUAUGUACUCAUUCUAAACAUCUUAUCACGAGGUGGUUUUUGACCAUACGGAAUAACUCCCACUCGUUAGUUUCAAAGUCUGAAGACAAGGAUAUUUCACUUUAUUGAAUUAAACUCUCAAAUAAAAUUUUUCAUCCGUAAUUCAA